CGCACAAUUUUCAGGUCUUCAUAGCUUGGCCUUCACAAAUUAUUUGUUCCACUCACUUCUCAUUUUUCACCAUCACUGCAGUGUGAGAGCAGCCUGUCCAAACCAGUACCACCAUCUCUGCUAUGCCUAACCCACCACCACACUGCUCAUAUUGACUGCCAUGUCCUCAUAAACGUUCUUCAAAUGUUGAGAAUGUCAUUGUUUGCAAUGUUCUCUACAUUAAGGAACAAAAUAACAUACCACUCUUUCAUACAUCAGUGUCACCCUCAUUUUUACAGACUUAUAUGGCCCUAUCACCUGACAUGUGUUGAAACUUGCAGGAUAUUAGCAGCAGCCUUUAAAUUUUCACCUGAUAUUGCAUUUUAUAUGCACCAUCACAAGUGGGAAAACUAUUUGGAGGCAUUAGUUUUGGAGCAACCCUUGUAUUUAAAAAACUUAAGACUCUUUGUUUCACAGUUAGUAGUACAUGAUGUAAGAAACAUCUUGUUAAAUUACAUCAUUGAUAAAGAGUAAAGUAUUUUGAUAUGAUGUGUAAAAAUGGAAGUAAAGCAGGAAGUCAUGUAGGAUUUUAGGUUUUGACAGGAAUGUAGUAUAAAUAGUGGUCUUCUGUUCAUUGAUAUGUGAUGCAUUGGCCCAGAAUACCACCAUCUGUAUAUAGAAAGUGACAUUUAAUAAUAUUAGAGCCUGUUUUCUGAUAAAACCUUUGCUUCCAGAAUCAGCAGAUUGGCAAUGGCAGUCUCACUUUGUUCAUAUCAGGCAGAACUGCUGCUUGGGAGAUGUACACAGAAAUAUAGGGAGAACAUUUCAAGGUGGUGGAUCAGUCACUCCCAAGAAUGCUAAAAUAGGCUGAAAUCUAUGGUGUUAAAUAUUGUAAACCACAAUACAGUUGUUAAUAUAUCUGGACUUGUGUGUUUUGGACAAGAUACUGCAGUUUUUUUGACUAACAACAGUUUUGAAAUGUAAUGUUAUUGAUAAGAAACCUUCAUUUUAACAUUGUGAGUUGUGCUUUUGUGUUCUGUAUCCUGACCUAGGUAUCCUUGUUUCAAGUCUCACCUAGAGGAUAACAGGAUUUAUAUGUAUACUUUGUACAUAAUUUUAUCUUUGAUCCUGUCAUUGCACUACGACAGUGGUUUUCAAGCUUAUGCAUUUCAGUAUCAUGGUUGUAUGUUGAAAUGUGUUAUUUAUUAUAUGCAUGGUAAUGCAGAUUCCCAUCAUGUGGAUUCUUGUUUCAUCAUUGAUAAAGUAAGUGGAAUUCAUUUCUUUUUUGUCAUUACCAACUUUUGAACCUGAAAUUGUUGUGCUUUGUCAGUUUCUCCACAACAGUCAGAGAUUCUUUAUCCCCCUCCCCCCAAAUCCCAAAUCUCUCAGCCCCUCUCACCAUAUCCUUUAUUGUUCUGUUUUAAAAUGUCAACAUAAUACAAACAAAUUUCCUACCAAAAAUACCAGUGUCAGUGCUGUGUUGGGAGCUAUACUGCAUUCCUAUCUGUUUGGCAGUCAGCUAAAUAAUUUCCUUCAGGAUCUUUUUUGAGCUAACUAGUUGCAUGGCCCUUGCAUCACGUUCUCCCUGUGAUGGGUCUUGCAGCACACAGCUUGAACACCACUGCUCUGACAUUACGAAUGGCACAUUUAUAUCACAGUUCCAGGAGCUGUUAGCUACGUUCAUUUGUCUCAGAGUUUACUUAAUACAAAUAUUUUUAUAUGGGAUAUUUAAAAACUACUUUAAAUGGUAUGAUGAGGGAACAAAAUUAAUUAAUACUUAAAUUUGCUUUCUGCAUCUCAUAACAUGAAAAAUAGUUCAUUGUGUUUUUAGUACAGGUAAACCAGGGUUAAAAAUGCACUUGUCACUGGUCUCUGUAAACUUGCCUGUGGGGAGUAGCAAGCAUAUUUCUAGAUCCCUGUUGAGGCAAGUCACUGUUGGCGGCUCAUAGCAUCUUACACAUGUCACAAAGAUCAUUCACACAGUGGUGGAUAAAAACAACCUGGAAGUUGUAUUUCACAGUCUUAUAUUUUCAUCAUUACUGAAUCCUGUGUAUAACUUACAUGAAUAGAAAAGCAACUUCUAAGUACUUAUCUCCAUCAAAUUUUGGCAGGCAUAGCAUAAGCUCCAGUUGAUAAUGGUGUUAUUAACAGCUAAGCAAGUGACACUGUUAAAUGGUUAGCAUCCAUAUUUAGGAGGACUGAGGUUUGAUUACUGGCCCAGAAGUAGGUUAUCCUUACUAAAGUCUUUUGCAAAUGGCAGAUUAUCAUCUUGAAAUAAGCAGUGCCCGUUUCUUACUCUGUUCUCCAUGAUUCAUAAUUAACCUGUUAAUUAAUAUGUUAUUUGACCAUUGCAGUUGAUAAAGCAGCAUUUAGUAAAUAAAAGAUUUGUGUCAACAGCAGCAGUUAUUUUGCUUAAAAUAAGAAGUUAGUAUGUUUUAGAAUUUUGAAUUUAGUAAGAACAGAGCAGUGAUAAGUGCUAUUCCCACAUUCAUCUUGGAGAAUUAGGUACAUCCAAUGUCGGCUGAUAUCUAUAUCAUAUGUCUUUAAUAUAGUUGAACAUUUUACUUUAGUAUAAUAUAUUUAUUAUAUUUGUAAUAGGUAGUGAUACACAAGAAUCUAAUCUUUGUUGUAUGUGUGAAGAACAACAUCCAGGAAUACAGACUUUUGUAGGUACGUGGUAAAGCAAGAUGUGUGAGAAAAUUAAGAUUUGUCAUUAUUGGUGUCUGGAUUAAAAUUUGUGGAUUUUUUAAUUAUAAAGCUGAAAUAUGAAAAUAGAAGAAUGAUGGUUGCUUUGUAAGACAAGAAAAUGCUGAUACUAGGUCAUGUGUUGUGAAAUUUAGAAUCGCAGGCAAGAACUUAGGACAACCGCUUUUCUCUAAACACUUCCAAGUGUAGACAGAGGUGACCACAAAUUUUAAGUUAAUAAUAAAACACUUUCUAUUUAUCUCUGUGCAUAAUUUACACUAGCCGAGACUACUUGUAAUAAUCCUUUCUAAAUUUUGCAUCUUUAAUGUAUCUUAUAGUUAGAGCACAGUUGCGAUGUUCUGUUAUAUUCUGCAAGAAUAUUGUCCUAAGGAAAGGUUCAGAUCUUUUGAAAGUCUAUUACCACAUGUGUCAAGACUAAGAAUAGUGUGCCUACUCAAGAGUUCAAUGGCCUUGAGUGCAUUAUGCUCGUACUAUGUUUGCUUGUUAGAACUUAAGAAGUGGUGAGCAGGUGAUUCAAGGUACACAGUGUCAUUAAUGUAGGCAUCGUUUUAACCUAAAAUUUGUAUUGUCUCAUUUGAAAAUGACUUUCAUGAGGUUGUGCUUUUUAACCAGUUACUUAUUAAUGAAUUCAUUGAGUAAUCAAAAUGAUUACUAGUGGUGGUCUCACACAAAAAGGGCCAUGUGUUCUGCUAUUCACUAAACACCACUGCUCUGUGUGGGAGUUAAAAUUUCAAAAUGAUCAAGUAUAUUACGUAUUAUAAGUUCGUGUACUUGUGAUUCAUUGCUCAAUAUUUAAUUUAUAUGAGAUUUGAGGUUCUCUCAGUAUUGAUGUCAAUGUUCUGAGCUGUGGACUCAUAGGUAGGUACCAAUAUUUCAGAGAAACAGACUGUUCUGUCUUUAGGGCUGAUGGAAACAGUAUACAUGAAUCCACUCGGUAUCACAACCCAGAAGAGUAUCAUCAACAGUUGCAUUUUAUAGUUUUAAAAUCCCAGUGUUUUUGAUGUAUUACCAUAUCUUUGUAGUAAAUGCUUUGUCCUAGUGGAAUCACAGUGUCAUGAAACAUUCAGAGCAUCUGCAUCGAAUGUGCUAGUCGACCUUGGAUCAUUGCUGAGUUUUGUAAUUGCAUGUUCAGUAUUCCUGCGGUAGACACCGUUGAAUUUGUAACAAUUUAAUAUUGCUUAUUAUAUUGUAACUUCUAAGAAGAUUAUGACUGUUGUCAAAAUGAAUUUUGCUUUGAUCAAAACUGUACCACUUAUAUAUGAUUUGUAAGUUCUUAUUGUGUGAAAAUGCUAUUACUCUCCUAUUUUUAUUCUAUUCAGUAUGUACUAUUGCACUGCCCUCAUAUUGCAGUAAUGUGAAUUGUACCAGUCUUCAGAUUGUUUCAUUUGGUAAUGAUGUACAUUUUAAAAGAAUAUCAAAAGGGCCUAUUUGAAUUGUACUGAACCCUUUAUUCAGUCAUAUUCCAAAGGAAUAUGAACAUCUAGUUGUUCCUUGGAAGAUAGCAACAAAGCAUUGAGAAGACAGAUGUGCUACUUGUGUUUUCAGAUUCUGUUACUGCCUCGUGCCUUCUCAAUUGUACAGUCUGGAUUUUAACACCACUUAGCUUUUCAAAUCAAAAUAUUUAUCAUAAAUGGUUCUUGUGCAUUCUGUAUAACAGUAAACAGUCUGUGGCAUGGUGCUGAAGGAGACAGUGUAUAUUGUUCUGACACUUGAACUUUUAGAUGGCCGUCUUAUUCUUCUGCAUUUGCUGUAGUUACCCAAGUGUAAUGUCUACUCUGUACCCAUUUUGAAAUGUUAAAGGUUUCUAGUUACAGGAAACACUAACUGGGAAUGUAUUAAAUAUUACUUAAGGUGUUCCAUUGAAUUUAAUUUGUAUGUCAGUUUUACAGAUUUUACAGAAAAGUUCAUAGACAGAAAUUUAUUUCAUUAUCUGAUGCAUACAUAUUGUGAAUUCAUAUUAGGGUGGGAUAUGUCUUGUCUGUACAUAAUUUCGUAGUAAUUUUUAUGAAUAAAUUGUAUAUGUUGAUUAUAUGCUUCCUGUUUGGUUCAUCUAGUACUGAGAGACUGAAAUGCAAACAUUGAUGUUAAAAUUGUAUCAUUUUAGUGUGACUGUUUAUGAGCACAAGGUCUGUUGCCAUGUUUGUGAAGUUCAUACCAGAGAUGCAAAUAUCGCAUGUGUGGCCGGUACCUCCACCUGUCUUCCCUUAAAACUAUUUCAGUACUGAAUGCGGAUUAAUUUUAUUACUGAGUGGUUUUGAACUAAUUACUGUUUCCUAAACUUCCAUUUUGGACAAAAAAUAUUUGUAUGUUUGUGCAAUUUUCAAUGGGCCCUAUUUUCACAUAUGAAUUCAUGUAGUUUCCUUUGUAGAUUGUAUGGUGUGAUUGUUGAUAGGCAUGUUUGUAUGACAAAUUUUCUCACUUAUGAAAGAAAAAAAAUAAUUUUGUAUCCUGUACAUAAAUUUUAUUGGUGCUUAUAACCAUUGUACAGUUCUUUGAGUCAGCACUGUUUGAGACAUGACAAAAGAAAUAAGUAUUAUGUUUUGUCUUCAGAAUCUUACUUAAUUAUACAUUAAUAUUGUGUUUUCUGUCAAUAAAUUGUGUGCUGUUUGUGCUAAUCAAGUAAUUUUCACAGUGGACUGAAUUGAUGAGUCAAUGGCAGGGCUGUACUGUUGUCUCCUUACACUUAAACGUCUUCCUGAGAUUCUAUUGGUAAUAAGAAAAUACCCAAAGUCAGGACUGCUUUUAGGAACCAUUGACAGGGCAACAAAGUAUAGAAUGACAUAGUAAUGUCACUGGAAAGCACAAUGUUAUUAUUCUUUAACACAUUCAGUGCCACUGUUCAGACAUCUCACCCAUUUCAAGUUAAUGUGGCAGUUCAUUCGUUUAAAAAUAUUUGUUUCCUAUUUUUUUAUUAUUACUAUGAUUAUUAUUUGACAUAUUUAGAAUCCAUACAAUACUUUUUUUUCCCCUUUCAAUGCAUUUGUAAUAUUAGAAAUAAAUUCCAUAACUGGUUGAGCAACUGUUGGUUUCUCAAGAAUGACACUGUUCCAAGAAAGUGGUUAAAUUAAAAGUAGCUUUGAAUUUAUGUAAUUCUAUGUUUUUUCUUUAAGUCAUUGGUCAAGAAGCACAUUGUUUAGUUUCUGUAUUUUCUUUAUAAAUUAAUGAGCCUCUUCUCUUGUCAAAUUACAGAGAUUUCAUCACUUUGUUGGCUGUGAGAUUUGGGUUUGACAUCAAAUUAAAUUAAGAUAGAUGAAAGUCACUCUCACUGGAUAAUAUGAAAAGAAACCAACUGAAUCCAACCAUAUGUCCAGAAAUAAAGAAGUCAAUGCACUUCCAGCUAUUAUGACAAGAAAUAAGGGUACUGUAUCAUAGAUAUUGUUGGGAAUAUGGGCUGAAGGAUAUCCCAUCAUCAUUUUGACGUUUUUCAUAUCUGUUGUACAGUACAUCACUUAGCUCCAUCCCAGGAAGACGUGAUGGGAGGACGAGACCUGAUGGAGAACCACACCUCAAACGUGUUUCAUUGAUGGCACAAAUGGGAGUAUUCUUGAAAAGUAUUGAAGAGAAUGCAACAUGAAAAAUAUUCAGUACUGUUUUCAUGGGGCAGGAACACAGUCUAUAACAGAGCACUCACUGUCCGUGUACUUGCGUAAUAUUAUGGUCAACUAAUCAAGAAAUUCCCCUCAUUUUAUGGAACCUGUAGGUUCAAUAUCAUGUUCAUAACAGCCAUCCUUGACUUCCUAUCCUGAACCAGAUGAAUCCAAUCAACUGUCUCCCAAUUUAUUUUCCUAAGAUCUAUUUUAAUAUUCUCCCAUGUACUCUCACAUUUUCCAAGUAGUUUCUUCCCUUCAGGCUUUCCAACCAAAAUAUUGUACACAAUUCUCAUUUUCCAUGCAUGCUGCACACCCUGCCAAGCUCAUCCUAUACUUUCUGAAAUUUCCCAUGAAUGUAUUUAUGUUUGUUUGCCUGGAGCAUAAUGUGAAUAUAUAAAUUCUGUGAGGUUUCAGGUUCUCAUGACAGUGAAGUUGUUGAUGUUUUUCUUGCGGGUUACAAUGCUGCGUGAAUUUGUAGAUAAAUACAAACAUUGCAGAGAAAUAUACCGUCUCCAUCUUCAGGACUUAAGUCCUCAAUGUGUCAUAACCCAGAACAACAUCAACAUCUAAAUUUUGCAUGUCUUAGAAAACUGGACACACCAAGUUUUAUGUCAAACUAAAGUGAUGCUAUAUAAUCUGAGCUACUGACAGCAUCAUUUAAUAAAUCACAAACAGAUAAAGACGGUGUAGGAAUUAAUUGUUCACAUCUGGUAGGGCGUUGCACAGCAAUAUGAGAACGCCCGCUUGUUGACUGUUUCAUGCAUGCGAUAAAUGGCUCUUGAAUGAAUUUCGAUGACAUUCUGUAGUAUGUAUGCUUACGAAAUUACGUAUUUUUGCCUGUGACGUACUUCCAGUCAGUUGGUCAGUAAUGUAACUACAUUGUUGUUAGGAUGCAAGUGAAGACCAUCUCGUUAUUGAUCAACAUCGAUACAUCAUUCCUGCCCAGAAGUUACUCAGAACAGUCAGAAACCGACUUCUUCCUGAUGAACUGAAAAACCUGUUUAACAGAAACAUGUUCACUCAGAGCAUGCUUGAUGACUCACUGGAGGAGGAGUCUCACAUUUGGCAACCUGGAACUUUCAGUGGUUCACUACCUUCUGUGAGUGCAGAAGGGACUCCUCUGUCGUACCCAGACAUCAGCGCAAGAUGCUAUAUUUUAACAGUACAUAUGCACUGCCUUUUCUGCCAGCUCUAUGUAAAUCACCUUGUAUUUCAUCUGUACGUAUGCUUAAGGAUAACAAUGAUCAUUGCUGAAGCUGGGGACAGAAAGAUUAUUUCCAAUUAUAGAAAUAUCUGUGAAGUUUUGUUAGACACAGUAUUCAGUACCAUAUUUCACAGUCUGUGUGAAAUACAAUCAUAUUAGUUUAAAUAAGUAACAAGAGUGUAGUAAGACAAUUUUUUAGAAGAUGUACAGAAUGUGAUCCAUCAGUAGUUAUCUGUAUUGAUAUAUUAAAAUAAAUAAGUAAGUUCAUAAUCAUCAUACUACUUAAGACUGACACAUAAACUAUAUUGACAGUAGUGUAGAAAGAAUACAUACCAGAGUUCACAUCUGAAGAUUAAGAAAGGUUGAGA